AGAGAUUAUUCCAGUUUCACUUGAGACUUCGUGUGAGCCCCCGGACGAAGCCGAGCAGGCUAUGUGCAGCGGACAUGUGUGGAGUUAUUGAUGGUAGAACAGUGGUGUGGUUAGGCGAUGUGAAAACAGGCUUCACGCCUGUGAGUGGGUGACAGUUGCUGUUACUGGAGGAGGCACUAAUCUUUAGGAUUUGCAUCAACAUUUUAUCUCUCUGGUGGAUACAAGGAGACCAGCGGAACCACCUGAACAUGUGGGACCUAAACAGGUACUCCAGAGACGGAAAUGAUGAGCUCUGUUGCUCUUCACUGACACAACAUGUAACUUCAAUCAUGUUGUAGAAGCAAUCACUUCACAGAAGAA